UACGGAGGGUGCAAGCGUUAAUCGGAUUUACUGGGUGUAAAGGGAGCGUAGACGGUUCUGCAAGUCUGGAGUGAAAGCCCGGGGCUCAACCCCGGGACUGCUUUGGAAACUGUGGAACUGGAGUGCAGGAGAGGUAAGUGGAAUUCCUAGUGUAGCGGUGAAAUGCGUAGAUAUUAGGAGGAACACCAGUGGCGAAGGCGGCUUACUGGACUGUAACUGACGUUGAGGCUCGAAAGCGUGGGGAGCAAAC
rnacentral:rRNA from 1 species